CCCGGUUCUUUCUCACUACUUGAGACUCGCCAGGUGAUUUCUCUGCCGUCUUAGCCAAGACACAAGUGGCUUUGCAAGAAACCGUCUUUGGUGUAAUUGGAACGCAUGUACACUCAUACUUAACCCGAGUUUUGUUUUGAAAUCAUUUUCACAUUUUUAAAAAUAGUAAGUCAACAUAUGGUCAUAAAAGUGACAAAUAUAGCUGUACUCUUAAAUACAUUUUCUAAAUCACAAUAUUCUACUUUUGGGAAGAAAUAUGAGUGAGCAAGUAGCAUCAACAUUGAGACCUAUAGAUCAAGAUUCCUCCGAGGUGGAUGAACCUGUGGUUGACCAGCAGCCCAGUGUUGAGCAACCUCAACAAGAGGAACCGCCAGCUGAGAUUCAGGAUAUCACAGCUGGAAAGGAGGAAGUAAAUGGAGAGGAUCCAAUGAAUCAUUAUGAAGAGAAGGAGAAGGAUGCGUCUGGAGGUAAAGUGUAUGUGUGCAUCAUGACUUAAGACAUAACCAGCAAGGGGAGGAAAGGAAACAUUAGAAAAGGACUUCAGACAGUUCCUGAAAAACUGAGGAGAG
rnacentral:lncRNA from 1 species